UGGCGGGGCGCUCCUGGGGAAAGCGGUUCGGCCCCGCCAGACACGGGGUCUCGCCACGAAACCUUGGAGUGGUCGGGGACUCUCUCCCGGGUGGCAGGACAGCACGCCCCAGACGAGCAGCCGGAAGCACUGCCGCCGGAUGGGGACCUGGAGGACGACCGGCUACGGAGGAGGACCGGAGACGGAGGAGGACCAGCAAAAGCACCGCCAGUCUGACUGGCUGAGCCACGGGAGUGAACUUAAUGGCAUUUUAAAUUGGAGCAGAGCCCCGAGAGAGGAGGAGAGACCACUGUGCACCUUAUUGGAUCACAAAUCUUACAUCUGAUUUUUUAAUUCCAAAAAUGACCUAAUAAACUGGCUUUAUAAUUAAAUCUA